AGAAGUUUAGGUUAGACAAACCGGGGGCCUUCAAAGCCCCAAACAUGAGCAUCACCCUCCUAACUACUG
rnacentral:tRNA from 1 species